CUUUUGGAGACACCAAGGAACUGCCCAACAAUCAUAACAUGAGCACAUAAUUUGACACACUUGCGAUAUGUUUUUGGGGCACCAGGACUCCGCAUAGCAGAGAGCACUGAACCAUUUCUCCCUGCAGCGUUAGCCCUUAGUGAGCUGGCCAAAAUGAUUGACAGGCAGCCUGAUGUGUAUUUACCAGUAAUGUUGGAGGACACCCGCAUUCCAGGCAGUACAUCCUUUUUGCACAGAGCCAGUGAUGCGCUCCUGUCACUGGUCUGCCCGCUUUACUCCAACCAGAGUCCCAAUUCUGGCACUACCUUUGUUGGGAGGUAUGCAUCCCCUUCUGUGCUACUUAUGCACGCAUGAGCAACAGUGGGCGGUAGUGAUUGGCUGAGAUUGUCAACUGACUGUUGCGGGAAUUAAUUGGUAUUACUAUGUAUGAGUGUAUCAUCUGCCUGGCUAUACUUCCAGUGGGGACAGGGCUGACAUCCAAGGACGCUAAUUUAUUGUUAAAUUGCUCAAAAAUAUUUUAACAUUGAAUGGAAUGACUCCAGGCACUAUACCCAUUCCACAAGAUGAAGUGUUUAUAGUGCCGACAGUGUCCCUUUAGGUGAGUGGUAAAAAGUCAGGUUGCACAUGCAAGUUGUAGGUCAAUAAUAUGGACUUUUCUUUCAACUACUAUCAAAUUGUAGGCCAAACUAUUUGAUAUGGAAAGCUAGGUGAGUAGGACAAACAUUUACAACCUUCUUGUUCUUUCUUAGAAGUUUCCAUUUUCUGAAUAAUUCUCAGCAAAUAAUGAUUUAGUAAAUAAACUCCUUUGAAUGCUAGUGCCUUG